rnacentral:rRNA from 1 species
AUUGAACGCUGGCGGCAUGCCUUACACAUGCAAGUCGAACGGUAACGGGCCUUCGGGUGCCGACGAGUGGCGAACGGGUGAGUAAUACACCGGAACGUGCCCGAUCGCGGGGGAUAACGAGUCGAAAGCUUUGCUAAUACCGCAUACGAUAUACGGUAGAAAGCAGGGGACCGCAAGGCCUUGCGCGGACGGAGCGUCCGAUGGCUGAUUAGGAAGUUGGUGGGAUAAAAGCUUACCAAGCGGACGAUCUGCAGCUGGUCUGAGAGGAUGAGCAGCCACACUGGGACUGAGACACGGCCGAGACUCCUACGGGAGGCAGCAGUCGGGAAUCUUAGACAAUGGGCGAAAGCCUGAUCCAGCCCUGCCGCGUGAAGGAUGAAGGCCUUCGGGUUGUAAACUGCUUUUGUCCGGAACGAAAAGCCUUCUUUUAAUACAGGAUGGUCAUGACGGUACCGUAAGAAUAAGCACCGGCUAACUACGUG